CUUGCUUUCUCUCUCCCGGUCUCUGCCUGCCUGCUUGCUCUUCUCUCCAGCUCUGAUAGCGCGCAGGGAUUGGUCGGGACCCGACACCGUGCAUUAGAUCCGCGGCGAGACAAGAUCUGGAAUUGAUUCCUCUCCCCAAAGAUCUCAGUGGCUGGAUCAGACGGGUUUCAAUAGGAACCACACGCUGCUCCUCUCCAGCGCCAGUCAUGGGACGCUGCAGGUCUCAAAGGUCCGUCACAUAUCCCCACCAUAUAAGGUGCUUCCAGGCUGAUAAAACAAACCUGGAAUUUAACUAAUAAAACAGCU